GGGUUGUGAGGUUAAGCGACUAAGCGUACACGGUGGAUGCCCUGGCAGUCAGAGGCGAUGAAGGACGUGCUAAUCUGCGAUAAGCGCCGGUAAGGUGAUAUGAACCGUUAUAACCGGCGAUUUCCGAAUGGGGAAACCCAGUGUGACUCGUCACACUAUCAUUAACUGAAUCCAUAGGUUAAUGAGGCGAACCGGGGGAACUGAAACAUCUAAGUACCCCGAGGAAAAGAAAUCAACCGAGAUUCCCCCAGUAGCGGCGAGCGAACGGGGAGGAGCCCAGAGCCUGAAUCAGCAUGUGUGUUAGUGGAAGCGUCUGGAAAGGCGCGCGAUACAGGGUGACAGCCCCGUACACAAAAGCGCAUGUGCUGUGAGCUCGAUGAGUAGGGCGGGACACGUGGUAUCCUGUCUGAAUAUGGGGGGACCAUCCUCCAAGGCUAAAUACUCCUGACUGACCGAUAGUGAACCAGUACCGUGAGGGAAAGGCGAAAAGAACCCCGGCGAGGGGAGUGAAAAAGAACCUGAAACCGUGUACGUACAAGCAGUGGGAGCACCCUUUGGGGUGUGACUGCGUACCUUUUGUAUAAUGGGUCAGCGACUUAUAUUCUGUAGCAAGGUUAACCGUAUAGGGGAGCCGGAGGGAAACCGAGUCUUAACCGGGCGUUAAGUUGCAGGGUAUAGACCCGAAACCCGGUGAUCUAGCCAUGGGCAGGUUGAAGGUUGGGUAACACUAACUGGAGGACCGAACCGACUAAUGUUGAAAAAUUAGCGGAUGACCUGUGGCUGGGGGUGAAAGGCCAAUCAAACCGGGAGAUAGCUGGUUCUCCCCGAAAGCUAUUUAGGUAGCGCCUCGUGAAUUCAUCUCCGGGGGUAGAGCACUGUUUCGGCUAGGGGGCCAUCCCGGCUUACCAACCCGAUGCAAACUGCGAAUACCGGAGAAUGUUAUCACGGGAGACACACGGCGGGUGCUAACGUCCGUCGUGAAGAGGGAAACAACCCAGACCGCCAGCUAAGGUCCCAAAGUCAUGGUUAAGUGGGAAACGAUGUGGGAAGGCCCAGACAGCCAGGAUGUUGGCUUAGAAGCAGCCAUCAUUUAAAGAAAGCGUAAUAGCUCACUGGUCGAGUCGGCCUGCGCGGAAGAUGUAACGGGGCUAAACCAUGCACCGAAGCUGCGGCAGCGACACUCAGGUGUUGUUGGGUAGGGGAGCGUUCUGUAAGCCUGCGAAGGUGUGUCGUGAGGCAUGCUGGAGGUAUCAGAAGUGCGAAUGCUGACAUAAGUAACGAUAAAGCGGGUGAAAAGCCCGCUCGCCGGAAGACCAAGGGUUCCUGUCCAACGUUAAUCGGGGCAGGGUGAGUCGACCCCUAAGGCGAGGCCGAAAGGCGUAGUCGAUGGGAAACGGGUUAAUAUUCCCGUACUUGGUGUUACUGCGAAGGGGGGACGGAGAAGGCUAUGUUGGCCGGGCGACGGUUGUCCCGGUUUAAGCGUGUAGGUGUGUGUUCCAGGUAAAUCCGGUUCACUUUAACAC
rnacentral:rRNA from 1 species